UGGGGAAUUGUUCACAAUGGGCGCAAGCCUGAUGACGCAACGCCGCGUGGGGGAUGAAGGUCUUCGGAUUGUAAACCCCUGUCGAAUGGGACGAAAGACUCGCGAGUUAAUACUUCACGGGAGUGACGGUACCGUUAAAGGAAGCCACGGCUAACUCUGUGCCAGCAGCCGCGGUAAUACAGAGGUGGCAAGCGUUGUUCGGAAUUACUGGGCGUAAAGGGCGCGUAGGCGGCCUACUAAGUCAGACGUGAAAUCCCCCGGCUUAACCUGGGAACUGCGUCUGAUACUGGAAGGCUUGAGUAUGGGAGAGGGAUGUAGAAUUCCAGGUGUAGCGGUGAAAUGCGUAGAUAUCUGGAGGAAUACCGGUGGCGAAGGCGGCAUCCUGGACCAUUACUGACGCUGAGGCGCGAAAGCUAGGGGAGCAAACGGGAUUAGAUACCCCUGUAGUCCCUGAGCGGGCUGGCAAGGCGCAU
rnacentral:rRNA from 1 species